rnacentral:piRNA from 1 species
UGGGAAGACAAAAACAUGUCGGAGACUGC